CAACAAAAAAGGUCGACGAAAUGAUAGGCUUGUACCAGCGCCUGGGCUUGCAGUCACAAUUGCGCCCUAAGCGGACUCUCCUGCAUUUUCCAGCGCAUCACUGAGCCGCAAGGGUACCCCCAAUAAAAGCUUCUUUCCAGAGAUGACGCUAGCUUCCCGGCGGUAAUGCGCGAUUCUGGUGCGCCCCUCGUCAGCAGACCCACGGACUUGCACGCGCGCGAAACUGCUCAGCGGAGGGGGUGUGGCUGGUUAAGAUCUGGUACUCACAGAGGAGGCGUUGCUGUCAAAUAAAAGCCGUAUCUGUCGGUGGAAGCGUGGUGUUUGACGUGCACCACCAAGCCAGGGGUGCUUGACCGCAGGCGCUGCAGCAGCCACAUCAGGGUAAUGUCCGAUGC